UACGGAGGGUGCAAGCGUUAUCCGGAUUCACUGGGUUUAAAGGGUGCGUAGGUGGCUUUGUAAGUCAGUGGUGAAAUGCUUCCGCUUAACGGAAGAACUGCCAUUGAUACUGCUUAGCUUGAAUCAGGUCGAGGUGGAUGGAAUAUUACAUGUAGCGGUGAAAUGCUUAGAUAUGUAAUAGAACACCGAUUGCGAAGGCAGUUCACUAGGCCUGAAUUGACACUGAGGAACGAAAGCGUGGGGAUCAAACAGG
rnacentral:rRNA from 1 species